UUUAUGCCAACAGCUGCUGGGCCUUGGCCUGGAAUCCUGCAGAUCAGGCUGAGUAGGGGAGUUGGUUGCUUCAUCCAAAGUUCCCCUGGGUCCUAUCUGCCAUAUCUCCAUGUGGUCAGGGUCUACCACAGGGGCCUCACUGCCUGCUCCGUCUCCUCUGAGCGUAGCUGUGAUCUCCUGUGACAUUCCUGUCCUAAUCAAGGGCUGAGAACCCGUGGCCUGUGCAGGGUCCCGCAUCUCCUAGGGUGCUGAAGCCAACCACAAAGUUGAACUUUGCUCUAAUUUCAAAAUGUAAACAAGCCUGUGCCACUGGGAAGUGCCCAGAAGCAGACCUGCCACCAUCCCCAGGGGAGCCCCAGGGUCAUCUGUGCUUGAAUAUUGAGAAGCCACCACCAUCAGCGGAUCCACAGAGCCUCCAUCAGCUUUGGCUUCUUGGGAACUGGUAUGCUGGGGGAAGGGUCUGCCCAGCAUGCAACAUAAUCCUUUCUCCAUUUUUUCCACAUUUGGGGCACUUAAGACCAGCUGUGAAAUGUCCUGAGAAUGGGGAUGUGUUUGGAGAGGCUGCUGUGGGAUACCAAAUGGAGCUAAAACUGGUCUGGAACUGCACUGUCCAAUAUGGUAGCCACUAACACUUUUGGUUAUGAAGCACUUGUUCUGUGGUCGCUCCAAGCUGAGAAAUGCUGUGAGGGUAAAAUACACACCACAUUUCAAAGACCUAUCACUUAAAAAAAGAAUAUACAUCAUCUCAUUAAUAUUUUAAAUAUUGAUUAUAUGCUGAUAAAAUGUUUUGGAUAUUUGGGCUAAAUAAAAUGUUAUGAAGCGUCAUUUUACUUGUUCUUUUUUUUUUCCUUUUGUAUAUGGCUACUAGAAAAUU
rnacentral:lncRNA from 1 species